rnacentral:rRNA from 1 species
GACGAACCGUGCGAACGUUGUUCGGAAUCACUGGGCUUAAAGGGCGCGUAGGCGGGCGGUCAAGUCAGAGGUGAAAUCCCACGGCUCAACCGUGGAAGCGCCCCUGAUACUGAUUGUCUCGAGGGAGGUAGGGGCGUGCGGAACUUCCGGUGGAGCGGUGAAAUGCGUAGAUAUCGGAAGGAACACCGAUGGCGAAAGCAGCGCGCUGGACCUCUACUGACGCUGAGGCGCGAAAGCCAGGGGAGCAAACGGGG